rnacentral:rRNA from 1 species
AUGUGUGUUCCGAAAGGCCAAGGAGGAAUGGGUUUUCGAGACAUACACUAUUUUAAUCUGGCUAUGUUAGCCAGACAAGCUUGUCGUCUCAUUGAUAAUGUUGAUUCCCUAUGUGCCACAAUCUUAAAAGCCAAGUACUUCCCAGAUAGUGAUUUGAUGAAAGCAAUUUUAAAGAAGGGCUCCUCUUUUACUUGA